GAUGAAGAACGCAGCGAAAUGCGAUAAGUAGUGUGAAUUGCAGAAUUCAGUGAAUCAUCGAAUCUUUGAACGCACAUUGCGCCCCUUGGUAUUCCAUGGGGCAUGCCUGUUCGAGCGUCAUUUGUACCUUCAAGCUUUGCUUGGUGUUGGGUGUUUGUCUCGCCUUUGCGUGUAGACUCGCCUUAAAAUAAUUGGCAACCGGCGUAUUGAUUUCGGAGCGCAGUACAUCUCGCGCUUUGCACUCAUAACGACAGCGUCCAAAAGUACAUUUUACACUCUUGACCUCGGAUCAGGUAGGGAUACCCGCUGAACUUAAGCAUAUCAAUAAGCGGAGGA
rnacentral:misc_RNA from 1 species